rnacentral:rRNA from 1 species
GAUGAACGCUGGCGGCGUGCCUAAUACAUGCAAGUCGAACGUGAUCCUCAAUUUGAUUGGGGUGAAAGUGGCGAACGGGUGAGUAACACAUGGCUGACCUGCCCUUCAGAGGGGGACAACCGCUGGAAACGGUGGCUAAUACCCCAUACGCUCGCCCGGGUUAGAGGCUGGGUGAGGAAAGGCGAUUAGUGCUGAGGGAGGGGGCUGUGGCCCAUCAGCUAGUUGGUAGGGUAACGGCCUACCAAGGCGAGGACGGGUAGGGGACCUGAGAGGGUGACCCCCCACACGGGCACUGAGAGACGGGCCCGACUCCUACGGGAGGCAGCAGUAAGGGAUAUUGCGCCAAUGGGCGAAAGCCUGACGCAGCAACGCCGCGUGCGGGAUGACGGCCUUCGGGUUGUAAACCGCUUUUCUGGGGGAAGAGGGAGGACGGUACCCUGGGAAUAAGUCUCGGCUAACUACGUGCCAGCAGCCGCGGUAAAACGUAGGAGGCGAGCGUUAUCCGGAUUUACUGGGUGUAAAGCGCGUGCAGGCGGUGCAGCAAGUCGUGCGUGAAAGCGCUCUGGCUCAACCGGGCGAGGACGUGCGGAACUGCUGGACUAGAGGCAGGUAGAGGCGUGUGGAAUUCCGGGUGUAGUGGUGAAAUGCGUAGAGAUCCGGAGGAACACCAGUGGCGAAGGCGACGCGCUGGGCCUGGCCUGACGCUAAGACGCGAAAGCAUGGGGAGCGAACGGGAUUAGAAACCCCGGUAGUCCAUGCUGUAAACGAUGCGGACUAGGUGUGGCGGUGAGGAGCCGCUGUGCCGCAGCCAACGUGAUAA